AUGCUUCAGUUCCUCCACAGCAGCGCGGUGUGACAGGCCGCCGUCGUCUUAAUUGAAACUCCUUCAUUCCACCACUUCUGUCUACCGCACUGAUUCGUUCGCUCAGCACUCCACACGCAGCUCUUCCUCUGGCCACAGCUCGUCACUCCACAAGGCGGCAUCAUGCAGCCACUGACCCUCCUGCUGGUGGUGGCCGUGGCCCUCUCAGCGCUGGUGGUGGUGCAGGCCAUCCCCUUUCCUGACGCAGAACCUCAGGCCGACCUCUCAGUCUUUGAUACUGUCUAUCACCCCUACCCCCUUCACCACCCCUUCUACCACUCAUACCACCUCCCGGGCUACCAACCACGGCACCACCCGUACUAUCACCCACACCACUUUAACCACUACUCUCCGACCUACUACCUUCCAUGGGUUAAAAGGCGCUGAAAAAAAAUAAUAAA